rnacentral:rRNA from 1 species
AGCCUGAUGCAGCGACGCCGCGUGAGGGAUGACGGCCUUCGGGUUGUAAACCUCUUUCAGCAGGGAAGAAGCCACAAGUGACGGUACCUGCAGAAGAAGCGCCGGCUAACUACGUGCCAGCAGCCGCGGUAAUACGUAGGGCGCAAGCGUUGUCCGGAAUUAUUGGGCGUAAAGAGCUCGUAGGCGGUUUGUCGCGUCUGCUGUGAAAGCCCGGGGCUCAACCCCGGGUCUGCAGUGGGUACGGGCAGACUAGAGUGCAGUAGGGGAGACUGGAAUUCCUGGUGUAGCGGUGAAAUGCGCAGAUAUCAGGAGGAACACCGAUGGCGAAGGCAGGUCUCUGGGCUGUUACUGACGCUGAGGAGCGAAAGCAUGGGGAGCGAACAGGAUUAGAUACCCUGGUAGUCCAUGCCGUAAACGUUGGGCACUAGGUGUGGGGGACAUUCCACGUUCUCCGCGCCGUAGCUAACGCAUUAAGUGCCCCGCCUGGG